CAGGCCUUGCCCUGUCUGGAGGCGCAGGUUCUGGGUGAUUGUGACACUGGCCUCUAUGAUGUGUUUCCUGUGACCAGUACCUGUGACACCUGGGCGUCACGCUCUCACAGUCUUUCCCUUUGUGGAUGAAGAGACCAAGUCAGGCAGGUGAAGUGACUUGCUCAAGGUCACAUGAUGGUGAGCACAGCACAACUGGAACCCAGGUGCCUCAGCCCUGCUGGGGGGCUUCCCAGGGUGCCAAGGCCCGCCUGUACAGAUUCCUUACGUGGAACACCACGUGGAAAUGUACAAUGACAUGUGAGGCAGAGAGAAAUAUCAACCUGAACCUCAUUUCGAACACUUUAGAGGAGUGCAAGACUGACUUAAGUGUCUCUUUGGACCUCUCACUUGCCCUCAGACACAGAAAGAAGAGUCUGCUUGUGAAUGCCAUCCAUUAUCAACUAACCCACCUACAGAGAUGGGCUCAAAUCAUCUUCACGUCACUGGAAUGUGAGCUGCAUGAGGCCCAGGACCAUCGCUCUAGUUUCCAACACCCCCAAGGCUUUCCACAGGAACUAACGUAUAACGGGCUGCAGCCACAGCGCCGACUUGAACGAAGUCUCUUCGUUGGUUCUGCGUGAUUUCUCAUGGGUGUGUACCAUGUGUGGAAAUGCACCCCACGUUCACUGAAGGCCAGCUUUUUCUCCUGUGACCACUUCUGUUCUUCCUGGGCCAGUAGCUCUAAAGGCAGCUAUGCAAGCAACGGCUAGGACCUGGCUGCACUCAGGAGGUGGGCGUAACAUUUCUCUUUGCUGCUUCUCUUCCUGCAGGCCGUGGCCACCCUGGGCCUUGAGCCUCUGCAUGUAUUUGACUUCCUCUAUCUGAGGCUGAAGAAGUCAAAGGCAGGUUGAACAGGGAGGCAGGGAGAAGGCAAGAAGGUCUGGUGCUGGGGGGACAAGUGUACCGGCGUGCUCAGCAGUGGCUCCUUGGGGGCCCCAGGCUCCAGGGCUGGGUUUGGAGCCCUGCUCGGCACAUAGAACUCUCUAGGGCCUCCCUGAAGGGUGGGGUAGAGAUGUAUGUCUAGGAGAUUAGUUAGGCUGAUAAAUAGAUCAGUGGAUAAGUAUUCGGGAUAUGCAUAUGGGAUCACCUGGACUUGCCUGUAGAAUCAAAUGAGAAGACUUAUUUUCUCCGGUAGUGGUUGAUUGCUACAUUAUUUUCUUAAAAUUGCUAGUUUUGAGUUAACUAUGUAAUUUUUUUUUUUCUGUUAAUGAUGCUACCGUGUUGCUAACAAGAUUCUAAAUUUCAAAAAGAAAACAAAAUCAAUCCAGAGAGAGAGAGAGAUUUUAAGGAAUUGGCCUACCUGAUUGCAGUAUUUGGUGAGUCUGAAAUCUGCAGUGCAGGUUGGCAGGUUAGAAGCUGUAGAUUUAAGGCAGAAUUUCUUCUUCUCCAGGGAACCUCAGUUUUUGCUCUGAAGGCUUUCAACUGAUUGGAUGAAGCCCACCUACAUUAUCGAGGGGUAACUUCUUCACUUAAAGUCAACGGAAUAUAGAUGUUAACCACAUCUGCAAAAAUACCUUCACAGCAGCACCCAGGUUAGCGUUUGAUUAAAUAAGUGCGUAUUGUAGCCUAACCAAGUUGACACGUAAAAUUAAGCAUCACACCUUCUCAUGUGAUUUAUAAAUACCCCAAAGGCUGGAACAGCAGCUACGUGGAGGACUUGGUGUGCCCUGCUGCCAUCCAUCUACCUCAAUUAUUUCUGGCCUAUGUGUC
ensembl:lincRNA